CUCCCAACGUGUUUCACUAUGCCAGGCAUUUCAGACUUCGCAGCACAGACAGGCUCCAAGAACAAUGGUGACAGACUAUAAUCUAUGUUACCAACACCAACCAUGUAAGACAUAAUGUAUUAAAGAAAAACUAAAAGUACCAUAACCUCUACAACAUGCUAUAGUGGGUAUGGUGACAGGAUUUUCCUGGUUCUCUCCCAGUC